ACUUAAUGAUUACGCUUUCAGCAGCACAAUAACAAUAUGGGGACAGUGUCUGCAUGAUGAGGGGCUUUCUAAAAUUACAAUCAGACUAUGGUCAUAUUUGGGUUGCUGAAACACAUGAAAUGUCUCUACCCCCUUGUGCUUCAGUGUAUUGUUUCGUGAUUGGAUGUCUGGGGGAAAGUGGGGGACUUUUUGUUAUUUCUGGCUGCAGGCUGCUCACUUCCUUUCAUUUCUUCAGUCUUUCUCCUUCCAUUCUGGCUUUGGGUAGAUCACAAGAUUCUACAUUUAAAAAGGCAACUCUUGCAUAGAGGGUAAAGUUACGCACUAAAGUCCACAUUGCAGAGUAAUAUCCUUGGCUUGCGGCUCUUCCCUUGUUUUCUCUGCACCCUUAUGUUGGAUUUAAUUAUUCACAUCUAAAGCUUGGUUCCUGCCUUCGUAGCUCACAGGACUCUCAGAGCAGCUUUCUGUAAGACAUAACACAACAAUAAAAUUGUGAAAUUAUUCUGAGAAUUGCAGAGGAAAAGAUCCCCAGGAAGGGUUGUAUCAAUAACAGCUUCCCCUGCUGUAAAGAGAAAUCUAGUUACAUAUGAGCUGCUGUUUCAUACAUACUUCUUGCAACAGUUUGUGUUGAAGCCUCCUCCAAACUAUGGGAUAGUUCUAGACAGUGCACAUUGCAAGAAGACUAAAAUACAGUGUUUUGUUUCCAUGGAUGCAGCCAUGGUCCUAUAGUAAGAAAGCUGCUGUUCUGCCCAAAGAUGUGUUUUGGCAGGUUCAUCCUCCACCCAAGGGAAUGCGGGUAGGGAUUGUUUUCUAAUGCCUAUUUAUUAAAGACAGAGAAGCAUGAGGAAAGACAGCCAGAUGGAGUGGGCAGCAGCUGGAAGUGAUCUCUCUAGCUUCCGUACAUUCACAGAGAGCCGCUGUGAGGACAUGCUAGGGAGAUAGUGGCAGGGUCACCCACCUGGAAGAGAACUUCUGUAAAGAGCAGCAGUUGAUCAGGAUGGGGGAACCAGAGGGCGGCGUUGUGCCAUUGAAGCAGAUAUGAAGAUGAAGAAAUGAAGCUGAAGAUAAGAAACAGCCCAGUCUUUGGUAUCUGAACCCAGGAAGCAAAAUGAGAACCUUCCUGAUCCUGAGGAUGAAAUGGCUAUGGACAGGGAAGGGCUGACCUGUCAAUAAUAAAGAAUAUCUAUCAUCCUGGAAUGUAUAACCAGGGUAAUCCCAGAAACAAGAGAGCAGCCCCACUGCCUGUUGUAGGGCAGCAGUAUUGGGGUCCUAUUAGUGUCCUCAUAUUAGCUAGCAACUGGUGGCUAGUACGUACUGUAAUGUGAAGUGUACAGAUUUUUUUGUAUUUGUGGAGUGUAAAUGUGUAUAAUAAACUGUAGUAGAGAAUCCUGUAGAGCAAGGCGUGCUGGCUGCAUUGAUUUAUUUACAUUACCACCCUCUCUAAGAAAAACUUGUUUGUAAAGACCUACACAUACUGUGAAUCAAUGUUUUGACUACGUAGUCCAGAAUGGCAAAUCCAUCAGCUAGAUCAGACCUGCCAAGCAAUUUCAAACAGGUCUGCUAGCUCCCAUCUUCCUCCCCAUCAUAAAGAGAAGUCUUUCCUCCCAGCCCAGGUGCUGAAAAAAUAGUUGCCUCUGCUCUUCAGAGAUCUGUUGCUGAAGAGCAAAAGGAAAUAAUUGUAUUUUCCAUUGCAGUUUUGGUCUUUCCGGAGGAGUUUGAACUAGUCUAUCAAACCCAGUGCUGUGAUAGAUGAGUUUCUACCUGUCUCUAGAUGCAGGAUAGUAACGUCAACGUUGGCCAUGGCCCUCUGCUGGCAUGUGGUAGUCCAGUACUGUCUCUUCUCAUUGGCUAUGUGUGCCCAGACACUAAUGUUUCAAAACAUGAGGUCAUAGCGAGGAGAGAGCAUGGAGCAGCAGCCUGGCUGCCUCAGGUGGCGCAACCCACAGGGAAGUGGCUAUGGGAGGAGAGACUAAGGCAGAAGUGGGGAGGAGGGUAGCAGACAGAGAGACAGACUAAAAAGCCUAGAAUGGACCUGCAGUUUCCUCCUUCCUUACUGUUGCUGCUGGAGCUAAGUAUCCCACCAUUGCUUACAGAUACAGAUGCAGGCAGAAGCUGCAGCCUUUUUCUUUUGCCUGUGUCUGUCUCAUGGCUCUGUCUCCCUCCAAGCACCACUUGCCUCCUUCCUAGGACAGGAAGAUGAUGAAACCAUAAUCUGUUUUGGUCAAUUUGGUUUAACUCAUCUGUUUAAAGGUCGUGACAUUUCAUUAUCACAGCAGCAAAAAUUUGGUAUUUUUUUGUAAUAAAAUAGUUAAAUU